rnacentral:rRNA from 1 species
CAUGCAAGUCGAACGAGGAUAUAUCCUUCGGGAUAUAAGCCGAGUGGCGCAAGGGUGAGUAAUGCAUAGAUUACCUACCUCUAGGAUAAGGACAACUUUGUGAAAACGAAGCUAAUACUUAAUAACACAAGAGAAAAUAAUUUUCUUUUGUCAAUGGGAGGGUAGCAAUACCUUUUGCCUAGAGAGGGGUUUAUGUCCUAUCAGCUUGUUGGUGGGGUAAUGGCCUACCAAGGCGAAGACGGGUAGCCGGUCUUAGAGGAUGGUCGGCCACACUGGGACUGAGACACUGCCCAGACUUCUACGGAAGGUUGCAGUCGAGAAUCUUUCGCAAUGCCCGAAAGGGUGACGAAGCGACGCCGCGUGAGUGAGGAAGGCCUUCGGGUUGUAAAGCUCUGUCAGGAGUUAAGAAAUGUAAGUGUGCUAAUACCACAUUUACUUGACGAAGGCUCCAAAGGAAGCCACGGCUAACUCUGUGCCAGCAGCCGCGGUAAUACAGAGGUGGCAAGCGUUGUUCGGAAUUAUUGGGCGUAAAGAGCACGUAGGUGGGUUUGUAAGUCAGAUGUGAAAGCCUUCUGUUCAACGGAAGAAUUGCAUCUGAAACUGCAAGUCUUGAGUGUAGGAGGGGGGAAUGGAACUUCUGGUGGAGCGGUGAAAUGCGUAGAUAUCAGAAGGAACGCCGGCGGCGAAAGCGAUUCUCUGGCCUAUUACUGACACUCAGUGUGCGAAAGCUAGGGGAGCAAACGGGAUUAGAUACCCCGGUAGUCCUAGCCGUAAACGAUGGGCACUAAGUAGAGGGAAUUACCGAUGUUCUCUCUGCCGUAGCUAACGCAUUAAGUGCCCCGCCUGGGGAGUACGGCCGCAAGGCUAAAACUCAAAAGAAUUGACGGGGGCCCGCACAAGCGGUGGAGCAUGUGGCUUAAUUCGAUGCAACGCGAAAAACCUUACCGGGGCUUGACAUGGUAGAAGUAGGAACCCGAAAGGGUAACGAACGGUAUCCAGUCCGUAGCUAUCACAGGUGUUGCAUGGCUGUCGUCAGCUCGUGUCGUGAGACGUUGGGUUAAGUCCCCUAACGAGCGAAACCUUGUUUUUAGUUACCAGCGGGUUAUGCCGGGUACUCUAGAAAGACUGCCGUCGUCAAGACGGAGGAAGGUGGGGAUGACGUCAAGUCAUCAUGGCCCUUAUGCCCCGGGCUGCACACGUGCUACAAUGGUCGGUACAAACGGAAGCGAAGCCGAGAGGUGGAGCGAAUCCUAAAAAGCCGAUCUCAGUUCGGAUUGGAGGCUGAAAUUCGCCUCUAUGAAGCUGGAAUCGCUAGUAAUCGCGGAUCAGCAUUGCCGCGGUGAAUAUGUUCCCGAGCCUUGUACACACCGCCCGUCAAGCCACCCAAGCAGGAUGCACCCGAAAACAUUAUAUCUAACCAGGUUUGCCUGGAGGAAAGUGUUGAAGGAGUGUUUUGUGAGGAGGACUAAGUCGUAACAAGGUAGUCGUAGGAGAACCUGCGGCUGGAUCACCUCCUUUCU